AAAGCACAAAGUGGAAGACAGCGUGGAUCCCCAGGGCACCGUGCUUGGGGAGCAGAUCCCCAGGGACUCAGGCUGGAAUAGAGUGGACUGAGGAAGAUGCGGCCGUGGCUGUCUCAGGCUCCAGGACAGUGAGGAGCAGGCCAGAGCUGCCUUGGCAUGGGAUGGGCAAGACCAUAAGGAUGCCUCAGGGGUACAACAGGGCAGAGUCUCACACUGUCGCCCAAUCUGGAGUGCACUGGCGCUAUCUUGGCUCACUGCAACCUCCUCCUCCCGGGUUCAAGCAAUUCUCCCGCCUCAGCCCCCUGAGUAGCUGGGAUUACAGGUGCACCACGCCCGGCCAAUUUUUGUGUUUUCAGUAGAGACAGGGUUUCACCAUGUUGGCCAGGCUGGUCUCAAACUCCUGGUUUCAAGUGAUCUGCCUGCCUCAGUCCCCCAAAGUGGUGGGAUUACAGGUGGGAUUAUAGGCACAGUGGCCCACUGUGCCUGGCCCAAAUAAGCAGAAUUUUAAAUUGAGAGAUGAAGCCACCUGCAGCCCAAUCCCAGUUAUUGGAGCUAAGGCACAGGCGGGGCA
rnacentral:lncRNA from 10 species